rnacentral:rRNA from 1 species
GUUCAGGAAGACGGUCCUAUGGAUUGUAAACUGCUUUUAUUUGGGAAUAAACUCCGGUACGUGUACCGGCCUGAAGGUACCAAAUGAAUAAGCACCGGCUAACUCCGUGCCAGCAGCCGCGGUAAUACGGAGGGUGCAAGCGUUAUCCGGAAUCAUUGGGUUUAAAGGGUCCGCAGGCGGGCGUAUAAGUCAGUGGUGAAAUCCUGCAGCUUAACUGCAGAACUGCCAUUGAUACUGUACGUCUUGAAUUCGGUCGAAGUGGGCGGAAUGUGUAGUGUAGCGGUGAAAUGCAUAGAUAUUACACAGAACACCGAUAGCGAAGGCAGCUCACUAGGCCUGGAUUGACGCUCAGGGACGAAAGCGUGGGGAUCAAACAGGAUUAGAUACCCUGGUAGUCCACGCUGUAAACGAUGAUUACUCGCUGCUAGAGGGCAACUUUUAGUGGCUUAGCGAAAGCGAUAAGUAAUCCACCUGGGGAGUACGCCGGCAACGGUGAAACUCAAAGGAAUUGACGGGGGCCCGCACAAGCGGAGGAACAUGUGGUUUAAUUCGAUGAUACGCGAGGAACCUUACCCGGGCUUAAAUUGCAGAUGAAUUACGGUGAAAGCCGUAAGCCGCAAGGCAUCUGUGAAGGUGCUGCAUGGUUGUCGUCAGCUCGUGCCGUGAGGUGUCGGCUUAAGUGCCAUAACGAGCGCAACCCCCAUCUCCAGUUGCCACCGGGUCGUGCCGGGCACUCUGGAGGGACUGCCAGCGCAAGCUGUGAGGAAGGCGGGGAUGACGUCAAAUCAGCAC